UAUAAACACUAGAUGGCUCAUGGGAGAUUUUCCAGCGUAGCUCACCGGCCGCCAUCUUGCUACAGUCAACAGCUACUCUGGUACGCGCUAUGGUAGCUGUUGUAAGGUGAGUGAUCUGCACAAAAAUACUCUUAACUCGCUGAAAUCUUGAUUGAUUUACAAACGGUUUGGUUUAUUAUAAACAUUAUUAGCAUGGCUAUGAUACAGGAUGCUUGGACAUGUUGAAAUUGCAGCUUUUCUUUAUGUAUGUGUGGUUGUAUUUAUUAGCUGGCUAAUAACAAGAGGCUGUGAGUGAGACCUAGUAUUACAAAGUUGACCCAGCAACUUUACACCAGUGGGAGAGGCAGAACUGCUCUUUCUUUUCAACAUAACUUAAGUUACACAUGAUUUCUUCCAAGUGGUUUGGCUUGUUAAAAACAUCUUACAUUUAGAUACAUUAUGAUACAGGAAAUUGCUGGCUUUGUGUUUACAGAAGUACCUGACUAUGCCGGACUUUUGUGCAGCCUACGGAUGCUCUAAUCGCCGCAGUCUGGAAACAAGAACCCGUGGAAUCACCUUUCACGUGUUUCCCAAAACCGGAGAGAGGAGGAGGCAGUGGGAAGCUGCCCUAAGAAGGCAGGACACUGCUCUGCAGUGAGCACUUCAGUUGUGAGGACUUUGACAGGACGGGGCAGACUGUCCGGCUUAAAGAUGGUGUUGUGCCAACAGUAUUCAACUUCCCAGCUCAUCUUCAAAGGCCGGAAGCAACAAGAAGCACAACCACUUCAAGAAGAGCGGAAGAUGAACCUCAGCCUAAUGUUGUGAGUAUUCUGAAUGUGGCCAAGACCAGAGAGAUGGUCAUUGAUUUCAGGAGGGUGAGGACGUCUCCUCUGCCCCUGUGCAUU